GACGAACGCUGGCGGCGUGCUUAACACAUGCAAGUCGAACGGAAAGACGCUGCGUUUGGGUGGCGCUUGAGUGGCGAGCGGGUGAGUAACACGUGAGUAACCUGCCCUUGACUUUGGGGUAACUUCAGGGAACUGGGGACCAUAUCGGAUAGGAGCUUCUGAUCCGUGGUGGGGGUAGGAAAGUUUCGGCGGUUGUGGAUGGACUGGCGGGUUACCAGCUUGUUGGUGGGGUAGUGGCUUACCAAGCCUUAGACGGGUAGGCGGCAUGAGAGGGUGGACGGGGACAAGGGGACUGAGAGACGGCGCAGUCGGGAACGGGAGGCAGUAGGGGGAAGUAUGACACAACGAGGGGGCGUGUGAGACGGAGGCGCCCGGUGCGUGAAGACGGCCUUCGGGGUGUGAACCGCUUUCGCCUGAGACGUAGCGUUAGUGACGGUAACGGAUAAAGAAGCACCGGCUAACUACGUG
rnacentral:rRNA from 1 species